GGGGCACGUAGCGGAGGUGCAUAUCAUAAGCGGAGGAGCAUAUCAAUAAGCGGAGGAGCAUAUCAAUAAGCGGAGGAGCAUAUCAAUAAGCGGAGGAGCAUAUCAAUAAGCGGAGGAACAUAUCAUUAAGCGGAGUGUAGUCUUUUUAAACCAAAGGAAACUUUCAACAACGGAUCUCUUGGGUCUCGCAUCGAUGAAAAACGCACCGAAAUGCGAUACGUAAUGUGAAUUGCAGAAUUCAGUGAAUCAUCGAAUCUUUGAACGCACCUUGCGCUCCUUGGUAUUCCGAGGAGCAUGCCUGUUUGAGUGUCAUGAAAUCUUCAACCCACCUCUUUCUUAUGAAUCUGGUGGUGCUUGGUUUCUGAGCGCUGCUCUGCUUCGGCUUAACUCGUUCGAAAUGCAUUAGCAUCCGCAACCGAACUUCGGAUUGACUUGGCGUAAUAAACUAUUCGCUGAGGAUUCUAGUUUACUAGAGCCCAGUUGGGUUAAAGGAACCUCCUAAUCCUCAAGUCUAUUUUUUGAUUAAAUCUCUGAUCAGGUAGGACUACCCACUGAACUUAACCAUAUCAAUAAGCGGAGGAAGUCU
rnacentral:rRNA from 1 species